GAUAACCGCUCCCACCUAGGUAUAGGUUCGGGGGAGGAACUUCCGGACUCCACAAGGCAGUGCGCCGCCCGAAAGGACGGAACGGCGGGGCUAUAUCCCCGUUGGAUGGAAAGUGCCGCAGAAAAUAAACCGCCCGCAAGGGUAAGGGUGAAAAGGUGUGGUAAGAGCACACCGCGCAACCGGCAACGGUUGCGGCAAGGUAAACCCCGCAUGGAGCAAGGCCAAGCCGGUCCACACGUUGCCCGCGUUCGUGACCAAGUAGGCCGCUAAGAGUAAUGGUUAUCACAGCCCGCAAGGGUUGACAGAAUCCGGGGUAUCGGCCGUCC
rnacentral:RNase_P_RNA from 1 species